ensembl:lncRNA
AUUCACAUCCUUGUCCCCCGUCACUUUCUGAGGGACUAUAAAUAACUUCUGGGGUUGAUGCUGCAUGCGAGGCCGGGCCUUGGGAACUGAAUCAUUCUUUCCCUCACAUAACCAGCGAGGAGGUCAAUGCGCCUGCCCCUCAGAAGAAGCUGAUGAGAGACAGACUGAACCAGGAGCUCUUCUAGCAAGGGAGGAAGAAGCCUCAAAAGCCAGGCUCAGAUGGGUGACAGUGAGGAGAAACACACUGGGUGCUGGGGAGCAGGGAGAAAAGGAGCCAAGGAGAAGUUGCCAUUGUGAGGCAAAGGUUCAAAAUCCAUCAAACUUGAGAGAAGCCUCCAGACCUGGCAAGACUUUCGGUUAGAAAGCGUGGGGCACAUGAAGGGCCUUCUAUCUUGUGGGUGAACAGCAAGAACCAACAAGCUGAGGAUACAACCCACUAAUCGAUUCUGUGCCUCAUUACACUUUCUAAUUCAGGUAGUGUAAAUUAGACUGUUAUGUCUGCAUUUUCCCUUGGACUGUCAGCAGCACAAACAACAGCCAAUGCAGGGAGUGGUCAAUGUGGUAGCAAGCACAUGGGCCAGCAGGCCACAAACACAGCCUGACAUUGCUGCGUUCUGGAGCCGGUACUGACUUUUCUGCUGCCCCUUCUUCCAGUUGACCAAUAAGCAUUAAUUGGCUGUGAAGCUGCUUCCUGCGCCUCUGCUCAUAUUCAACGUAAUGUAAUGAUAAAGCACAGUGAGUACAUGAGUUGGUGCUGGCUGGGAUACACCUGCAUGCACUACCAUUGCAGCUUCAGGUGCGAUUUAUGUAUCUGCUUCUGGCAUGCAAGAUGUAAAAAUUACUGUGGUUCUAAUUGCAUGAUCUAACAAACGUCGCUGCAAAUUAACGCAACCACAGCAAAAGAUACAAGCCUUUUUCAUGAUUAUUGCAUGCCUCUAACGCCUAUCUCCAGCAGUGAAGAGUAGAUUCCCUGUGGGUUGAUGAAGUUUACACUCUGGAGUUAAGAACGGUAAUUAAAACUAUGUAAGUGCAGUUAUUAAUUUUCAGCUUCUGAGCUGAAGUGACAUGAGCUGCCAGUAACAACUAAACCUAUACUGCUUUGGUUCCCCUCUGUUUUCUCAAACAGACUGGAGUGUGAGAGGUGCACUAAGCCAGGCUCACUUGUACUAUUUGUUUUCCUUUUUGCUGUUUUGCUUGUUUUCAUUUUUAAUUAUGAAAGAUGGGCUCCUUCCAGCUAAGGGUCUGCACACGGGAGAGCAUGCAGAUGCCUGCAGACUACCUCUGCACAGUCUGCAGAAGGCAACAAAAGAAAGCAAGCCUGAAGGUGCUACUACAGUGCUGCCUGUAUGUGCAGUUUCUGUAAGGGUCCACCCUUUCUCUGAAACCUUUUAGGGGCUUUCAGGGUGAAAAGGGGCUGCGAACCACAGCUCUGGAGUAAGGCUUUGUUCACAGUACUCUCAGCUCAUUUCUGUGUGCUUAUUUAUUUGUACAGCCUCUCUUAUCUCUUGUGUGCCUUGCCAUUUCCUUAAGCUCACAUCUCUGCUUCUUGACCUAUUCAACUUCUUUUGCUCAUGACGUCAGUGUUUUUUCACAUUCUGCUUCAUUCUGACCCAGAAUAAAGCCUGAACUCUCUCCU